ACGACUUACGACUCACGUCGGUUCGUCUUUCACUAUUUGAAAUUUGCUCUCAUGGGGUUAGGCGCUUAGGCGGCGAAAAGACAUCUAACCCUGGCAGGUCUCCAUCGUCACUUCGUCACUUCACUCUCUUCCCAACAUUUCUGCUGCGAAAUCGCUCAAAAGAGGUGCAGAUAUGUAGAUUCGACACUUGAUUAUACUGAAAAACUAGGUUAAAUCUAUUAGCUAAUAAAAAAUAAAAAUAAAAUUCAAGGAUUCUUGAAUUCAAGAAUUCAAGAGUUUUAAGUGCAAGAAUAUGGUAACUUGGCUGCUUCAAGGUAUACUCGAGUAAUCGUGUCCAAGUUUUCGUCAGAUAAGGCCAAACUCGAAGAGGUUUCGAGGUCUAGAUCGUCCGUGAGUCGCUUCCCGCUACCUCCUUCCGUUGUUUCUGUUUUUUUUUGCGGAAUCACAUACUUCUGGAAAUUCAAGAAGUGAAGUCCAAGGGGAAGAUAACAUGGCGACCUCAGGUGAUAUUCAAGAAAUCGUUCGAAGCGUUCAUCAGAUAAGUCCAAAGCUUGGGAAGUAUGUGAAUGCUUUAGUUAUUGGCGCUUAUGAUUUUUCUGUUGUGUAUUCGUUCUUUCUUGUCUUACGUUUGUUUCAGAAUUUUCUUUACGAAGGAAUAAAGGUGUUGAAUAAUUGGUUGGGGGGGGGGGGAGAUCGUUUGACUAAAGCAAGAUUUUAAGGAAGAACACUGCAAAUCUGAGCAUAGUGCAUGCUUGCAGUGAGAUUCUAAAGCAAACACCGCUAUUAUCUCUAGCUUCAUUUGAGAAGCUUCGUAGAAUUCUAUGGCAGUCUGGCAGACAACCAUAGGUUUCAUAUAGCAGGUUUGCAUUGUUAUUUUCACUUUGAAACCCAAAGGUGGGAUGGAGAGAUUGAUAUCGAUGAAUGAAUGAAGCACUGCUUGAACAAUGGGCUGUUGCACCAGGUACCGAACCAAUGUUUAUAGGAUCGGAAGUGGGGUUCAGUACUUGAUCCUCAUUUGCUAACAGGACUGGAUGUUUCAGUAUGGAUCAACAACCAGCGGUUGCCAGGUGAUCAGAUUACGUACUGAAUGUUAACCUGGAUUUUUGUCCCACCCAAUAUUAUCCACGUCCGGUUAUCAAUAAACAAAAAAGGUGCAUAAUGAAUAGUUUUUUUAGUCUAGGGUCAGAUUAAGAAACUAAUUUGCCUGUCCCAACUAUGUUGGUGAAGUAGUGAACAAUAUUUGUAUUUUUGCAAUAUUUUCCAUCUCAUGCAAGCAAAAUCUUGUUCCUUAUCACAUAAUAGUAUAUAUAAUCGUUCUUUCAAUUGACCUAAUUUUUUUCCAAUAUUUGUUCUUGACUUUCAGAAUGACUCUUUCACCAUUUUGUACGGAGCUAUGUGAUUUUAUUUUAUAAUCUGUUUUAUUGGUCAAUUGUUCUUCACUGCGUUGACAUUUCUUUCCCCAGACAUCACUUGUGCACCUUUUGUAGUUUUGUACUUGUUUCCAUUUGUAACAAUAUGGUUCCUUAACCCCACUUUCAGACCCCAUUGUCAGACCUGUUUUGGUCUGUGUGGUGUCUUCUCUGAUAUCUGAAAACAGUCUUAAUUCGCCGAUUGUUUUCCACCAGAGCCUUUUCUAGGAAGAAAGGAAAGAGUAAUGUUACCGUGGAUGACCUUGUAAAUGUAAUCACGCCUAAGGGCAGAGGUUAUGUCUCUUGUUCAUCAAUGCUUCAUUUUCUUCAGGCUAAGAGAUGGAAACUCAUCCUUUCUUGCCAAGAUGUUCCAGAAUUAUUAAAACUACUUGAACGUGCUGUCUCUUCUGUUAUCGAGCAAAACUGCUCUGUUCUUCUACAUGAUGGUUGUUUGGGCUCUUGCUCUAUUUUCGAUGGUACCGGCUCUAUAUUAGCUUUUCUUCGGAAUUUUCUGCUGUCCUCUUUGCAGUUGGAUUGAUCAAAGUGCAGUUGAUCUGUGCUUUGUUGAUAUACUAUCCAAGCUACUGAGAAUCUCUUAAGGGCUUUGGCUGCACUUUAUGAGGUAUACUCUGAGUGAUCAAGUAAUGUUCAAUUGGAAAUGGUCAUGGGUAACUUAUCAUCAUCCAAAGCUUUCCUACAAAAUUCUAAUCCAUCAGAUGGAAGUGAAGUUAAGAUUGUAGAUAAGGAAUUGGAUAUGAAUGCCGAUUCCAGUGAUAUGGAUCAUUGAGCUUUCGGCAGGAAGGUGUGUCUGGUCAUCUCUGCUCAUUCUUCUAUGAAGUGGAAGUUGGCCAUUAUUACAGCAAUUUCCAUUUUUUUCCCACUUUUGCCAUCUAUUACAUGGAAAAUCAUGUUUGAUCUCGUCGAAGGAGAAAAAGAUUAAAAGGUCUGGGACCAUAUUCGUUGCAGUCUCUGUGAGCAUUUUUCCCGGUCUUAUUCUCACCUGUUCGACUUGGUACUCUGUUGCAUCCAUGGAAAGUGGUUGACAUCCCCUCGUUCUGGUGGGAAGGAUAUCCAUCUGUGCAUGGAAGGGAAUCUGAACAGAGUUUAAUAUCUCUUGGAGACUUGGUAAACAAAAUUUCCACAUUGGAUAUUCUUAAUUGGCCUGGGCAUGUUCAGCUGAAUGACUGCAUAUGCAAAUUUAUCGUUCUUGAUCCUUGAAUUGGUCAGAUGAUGAUUGAAAAGCUUCUUGUCAUGCUUCAUGAUCCUGAUUAUCAAGUUAGGGUUGUGCUUUUCCAAACAUGGGAUGCUCAUAAUGUGCAUUUUCUUGACAUUUGGUGAGCAACUAGUAUGCAUAUUUGAUAGUCUAUGUCAUCACUCACUGUCGCAUGAAUUCUCUGGGUGAUCAAGCAUCUAAACUAUGGACUCCCUGAUGCUCCCAAGUCUCUGGACCUACUUCUGUCAGCCUAGUUUUGUUGAUUACUGUUUAAAUGCAGGCUGUUUUUAUUAUAUGUGUGCUUGCUGCUAUUGAUCCUUGUCUGAGGUAUGGCUUCUGCUACAACUUAUUCACGUGGUGGUUCUUGUUUUACUUUGCAACAAUUUUCUUUAGGGAACUGGUCUAGCAGUAAUCGACAGCCUAUCAACACGUCUCCGGUACACAAGAAGUUUCAAGCACUUGGAGGAACGUAUGGGAUCUAUUCUCUUUUGUUGGGUCAACUGCAAUGUGUCUUUACUUGCACUUAUUGAGGUAAGGUUUAGUUGGCGAGUAUUGAAAGUAAAAGGUCAUGAGUUCAACACUCCUUGGGGCCUAACUAUCAAAGAAAAAAAGCACCUAAGUUCAUCUUCCCUUAUUACUCAGAGAGACUACACUGAACAGAAAGUGAAUUAUUGGUAACACUCUGAACUGAAACUAUUGUUGUAGAUUGAGUAUUGAUUGUGGUUUCCUUUGAUUAGGUCUGCGACCAUAUUCGUUGUUGUCUCUGUGAACAUUUUUCCUGGUCUUAUUCUCAUCUGUUGGACUUGGUACUCCAAUCUCCUCGACUAUUAUGCCAUCUGUGUAUGUUUUGCUUGGGAUGUUGACAUCCUUUGGUUCUGGUGGAAAAUAUGAAAGUGUUAAUCCAUCCGUGCAUGGUAGGGAAUCUGAACAGGUUUUCAGAGUUUAAUCUCUUGGAGACAUGUGAACAAAAUCUCCACAUUGUAUGUUCUUAAUUGACCUGGGCGUGAUCAGCUGAUUGACUGCAUAUGCAAAUUUAUUGUUCUUGAUCCUCCAAUUGGUCAGGUUCAAAGAAAGUUUGCUGUCAAGAUUCUGUUCUGGCGAUGACAUCUGGUUGUGGGAAGUGUUGAAGAGCCAACAAAACCCAUCGAUUAGAUCUGGUGCUUGACCUAAAGGAAGCCCGUACCUAAGUGAUGUAUCCCUCUGAGCUUCUGUGUUCACGCCUCUCCUGUGGUGAGAACCCAGAUCAAGACACUGAUCUGAACCCUGACUUUCGCCAGGUCCAACUUCGGAGAUUUUCUCUAUUAUAGACUAAUAGUCUAUAAUAUGGAUGGCUAUUGGUUGGUGUUCAGAGCCCAUGGGGUUAGCAACGUUGAUCUGAGUUUCCAGCCUGGUUGGGGUUCUUAAGAGAAGGGUAUCCCAAUGGAAUUCAAACCAGUUGCCUUAUGGUUUUGUGGUAUCGUGAGGUUGAGGAUGACUAAGUUUUGAAUACUUCACAUAAGAUACGGAAUCUCUUCGUUUCUAAAUUGGAGGCUAUGGACUUUGUGCAAUAUUGUUGCCCUUGGCUUCUUCCAGCUCUAGUUUUUGGUGGGGACACCACUAAUCUCUCUUUACUUGCUAUGAUGGGAACUUAAACCGUUUCAGUUACCUUCAUCUUAUGCAUCUUCAUCCUUUACUAGCUAGUGAAUUACGACCUUCAGCUAAAUUUUGUCAACAAUUUCUUAAAAACUUGUAGUUUGGAUUGACCUGGUGGACUCUUGAAAUUAUAACCUGCAUGUGGGUCCUUUAAUUUGACAUUGGGAGAGUAGCAGUUGGUAGCAUUGAGUGCUAUUGUUGAUAUAUUUAUAUCUAUCUUCCUCGUGUUGCUUUUAUCUAUUUUAUUUUUAUUUUUUCUCCGAGUUAUGAUUCCUGACAGGUUUCUGUCAGCUAUUGAGAGAACUUGCAACAUGCCAUUUUGUGCCAGUUUUUUACAGUAUGUAUGGAAUUAUAUUGUAGUGAAGUGAAAAAGGGGUUGUCUCUCUUCAGAGUUCACUUUUGUAAAUUGCCGAAUUGGCGGAGCCUGAACGAGGCAAACUCUACUUGAGAGUAGUAAUUGUUCUUGUUUUCCAGUUCUACAUCAUCAGUCAGUUGAGUUCUUCCCGCUACUUCCUUCUGUUGCAAAACUACUUGAGAGGAGUAAACCAUUGUACUAACAAAAAGUAGGUUAAAUCUUUUUUUUUGCCAAAUCACAUACUUCUAGAAAUUCAAGAAGUGAAGUCAAGUAAAAGAUAACAUGGCGACCUCAGGAGAUAUUCAAGAAAUCAUUCGAAGCUUUCAUCAGGAAAGCCUUUUCUAGGAAGAAAGGAAGGAGUAAUGUUAUUGUGGAUGACCUUGUAAAUGUAUUCACGCCUAAGCUAAAAGAUGGCCGUUCCUUGUAACACUACUCAUUCAACGGAUAGCCUCAGAGAUAUCCACAAGCAAGGGGUGACAGCUGAAGUUGCUUUCUCCAAAAGCCCUUCGAAUUGCCAUCCAACGAGCAGAGGAUUCAAGUUGUUGGAUUUAUUAUUUCUGCAAUUCAUUUGAAGGAGCUGAGCUUGUAGGAACUCUCUUUUGUGCUGCUUCUCCAAGCAAGUGUGGAUACUCUAUUGUGCUCAUCUCUCACCUCUAUCAAGAAAUUCAAGAAGUGAAGUCCAAGUGGAAGGUAACAUGGCGACCUCAGGAGAUAUUCAAGAAAUCGUUCGAAGCUUUCAUCAGAUAAGUCCAAAGCUUGGGGAAGAAGGAAUAAAGGUGUUGAAUAAUUGGUUGGAGGGGGAAAGAUCGUUUGACUAAAGCAAGAUUUUAAGCUGGAACACUGCAAAUCUGACCAUAAUGCAAGCUUACAGUGAGAUUCUAAAGUAAACACCGCUAUGAUCUCUAGCUUCAUUUGAGAAGCUUUGCAGAAUUCUGUGGAAGAUAGCCAUAGGUUUCACAUAGCAGGUUUGCAUUGUUGUUUCCACUUCGAAACCAAAGGUGGGAUGGAGAGAUUGAUAUUGAUGAAUGAAUCACUGCUUGAACAAUGGGCUGUUGCACCAGGAUUUUGAAUGAAUGAAACACAGGUCAUGCUUAUAAUGGUGUACUGUGGGUUUUGGAGGAACUCUCUUUUAUACUGCUUCCCCAAGCAAGUGUGGAUAUACUUUACAGUGCUCAUCCCUCACGUCUAUCAAGGGUGAACUUCGAGAUGUUUUAUGUCUCUGAAAAAAAUCUACUGAGAGCUGUUCUUGGAUUACUCAAAUGUAAGG